GACGAACGCUGGCGGCGUGCCUAACACAUGCAAGUCGAACGGAGUACCUUCGGGUACUUAGUGGCGAACGGGUGAGUAACGCGUGAGUAACCUGCCUUUCAGUGGGGGACAACAGUUGGAAACGACUGCUAAUACCGCAUAAUGUCAUUUAGGGGCAUCCCUGAGUGACCAAAGCUUUAUGUGCUGAAAGAUGGACUCGCGUCUGAUUAGCUAGAUGGCGGGGUAACGCCCACCAUGGCAACGAUCAGUAGCCGGACUGAGAGGUUGAACGGCCACAUUGGACUGAGAUACGGCCCAG
rnacentral:rRNA from 1 species